rnacentral:rRNA from 1 species
CGCCCGCCGCGCGCGGCGGGCGGGGCGGGGGCACGGGGGCCUACGGGAGGCAGCAGUGGGGAAUAUUGCACAAUGGGGGAAACCCUGAUGCAGCAACGCCGCGUGGAGGAAGAAGGUCUUCGGAUUGUAAACUCCUGUCUUCUGGGACGAAAUAUGACGGUACCAGAGGAGGAAGCCACGGCUAACUACGUGCCAGCAGCCGCGGUAAU